rnacentral:tRNA from 1 species
GGGCCUGUAGCCUAGCCUGGAUAUGGCACUGGUCUUCUAAGCCAGUGAUUGUGGGCUCGAAUCCCACCGCAUCCG